rnacentral:rRNA from 1 species
UACGAAGGGUGCAAGCGUUACUCGGAAUUACUGGGCGUAAAGCGUGCGUAGGCGGUUCGUUAAGUCCGUUGUGAAAGCCCUGGGCUCAACCUGGGAAUGGCAGUGGAUACUGGCGAGCUAGAGUGUGAUAGAGGAUGGUGGAAUUCCCGGUGUGGCGGUGAAAUGCGUAGAGAUCGGGAGGAACACCAGUGGCGAAGGCGGCCAUCUGGAUCAACACUGACGCUGAGGCACGAAAGCGUGGGGAGCAAACAGG